CAGUCGCCGCGGUAAUACGAAGGGGGCUAGCGUUGUUCGGAAUUACUGGGCGUAAAGCGCGUGUAGGCGGGCGUUUAAGUCAGGGGUGAAAUGCCAAGGCUCAACCUUGGAACUGCCUUUGAUACUGAAUGUCUUGAGUCCGGGAGAGGUGAGUGGAACUGCGAGUGUAGAGGUGAAAUUCGUAGAUAUUCGGAAGAACACCAGUGGCGAAGGCGGCUGACUGGACAUGUAUUGACGCUGAGGUGCGAAAGCGUGGGGAGCAAACAGGAUUAGAUACCCCAGUAGUCCCUGUCUCUUAUAA
rnacentral:rRNA from 1 species